GAGGAAUAUUGGUCAAUGGGCGAGAGCCUGAACCAGCCAAGUAGCGUGCAGGAUGACGGCCCUAUGGGUUGUAAACUGCUUUUGUAUGGGGAUAAAGUCAAUCACGUGUGAUUGUUUGCAGGUACCAUACGAAUAAGGACCGGCUAAUUCCGUGCCAGCAGCCGCGGUAAUACGGAAGGUCCAGGCGUUAUCCGGAUUUAUUGGGUUUAAAGGGAGCGUAGGCUGGAGAUUAAGUGUGUUGUGAAAUGUAGACGCUCAACGUCUGACUUGCAGCGCAUACUGGUUUCCUUGAGUACGCACAACGUUGGCGGAAUUCGUCGUGUAGCGGUGAAAUGCUUAGAUAUGACGAAGAACUCCGAUUGCGAAGGCAGCUGACGGGAGCGCAACUGACGCUGAAGCUCGAAGGUGCGGGUAUCGAACAGGAUUAGAUACCCUGGUAGUCCGCACAGUAAACGAUGGAUGCCCGCUGUUGGUACCUGGUAUCAGCGGCUAAGCGAAAGCAUUAAGCAUCCCACCUGGGGAGUACGCCGGCAACGGUG
rnacentral:rRNA from 1 species